rnacentral:rRNA from 1 species
UACAGAGGUCCCAAGCGUUGUUCGGAUUCACUGGGCGUAAAGGGUGCGUAGUCGGUCGGGUAAGUCUGAUGUGAAAUCUCACAGCUUAACUGUGAAACUGCAUUGGAUACUAUUCGGCUUGAGAGUUGGAGGGGGGACUGGAAUUCUUGGUGUAGCAGUGAAAUGCGUAGAUAUCAAGAGGAACACCAGUGGCGAAGGCGAGUCCCUGGACAACUUCUGACGCUGAGGCACGAAAGCUAGGGGAGCAAACAGG